GGUACUUUAUGAUAUAAAUGAUCAAGGUUGUUGUAGGAAAGAAAAUUUCAUGGCAUGAAAUACCAUUUUGUACAUAUUAAAAACAAAUCUAUUGAAAUAUUAGACA